rnacentral:rRNA from 1 species
UACAGAGGGGGCAAGCGUUGUUCGGAAUUACUGGGCGUAAAGGGCGCGUAGGCGGCCCGCUAAGUCGAACGUGAAAUCCCCGGGCUCAACCCGGGAACUGCGUCCGAUACUGGCAGGCUUGAAUCCGGGAGAGGGAUGCGGAAUUCCAGGUGUAGCGGUGAAAUGCGUAGAUAUCUGGAGGAACACCGGUGGCGAAGGCGGCAUCCUGGACCGGCAUUGACGCUGAGGAGCGAAAGCCAGGGGAGCAAACGGG